rnacentral:tRNA from 2 species
GCGCCAAUAGCUCAGCUGGAUAGAGUGACUGGCUACGAACCAGUAGGUCGGGGGUUCGAAUCCCUCUUGGCGUGCCA